GUUGAGUUUGAAGAACAAGAAAAACAGUAGAGGUCUACCUAUAUGGUUCAAGAUGAUGAUCAUAAGUGCAUGCAUCAUUUUGCAGAUUCUCAUCCAGGAUGAUGCAGUUUUACAAUUUCCAUGGAGGUGAUUGAUGAUGAUAAACAAUUGGUGAAGUAGGCCUAAUAGAACAGUGAUAGGACCAUGCAAAGAGAAAUACAACCUACAGCAGUUAUAUGAGACUGGUGUAACAGAUGUUUUCAUUCAAGAAACCCAACAAAUUGAAGAGUGACUUAGCUUAGGAAGCACUUGAUAAAGAUGGAAAAGGUUUUUUUUUUCAAGUCCAAUUUUUUUUUUUUUAAUUAUCAUCACAACCCCAAAUUCAUGAAGUAUGAAAUUUCCUGUCGAUUUUCAUUAAAACUGGUUGCAAAAGGAAAAGCUAUAAACAUACAAAUAGGAGCGGCGAAGUGAAGUUGAAAGUGGGGGGGGGGGGGCACAGGGAAAAUGCUGUAUUAUGUGAAAUUUUAAAGAAGUUGCGAGAGAGCAAAAUUUUGACAUUUUUAAAAAGAAAAUCCAAUUUUGUGAUAGAUUUCGACAAAAUAUUCAGAAUGAUAUAUUUCACCCUUUUUUUUGGGGGGGGGGGGGGGCAAGAGUCCUUCAAGCCCCCCCCCCCCUCCAUCUGUAGUGUACGAAACUGCUUAUCUACCCCCACUCACAUGAAUUAUUAAACUUAAUGCACAAAGGAUUUCCUUAUUGUUUUCUUGUUUCAAAGGGCACUCGUCAUUCUUUAGGAGCACUUUUCUUGGAUAAAAGGGGGCAGUUAUUCGAGAAAGGGCACUUACAAGAAGGCGAGGGGGUACUUUUUAACACUUAAAACGGGCCCUCAGAUGAAAGGGCACAGAACACGUUCGGGGGGCAUUUUUGGUAAAAAUUUGCAUACAAGGAAGAGCACUUGGUAACACCUAAAACAGGUUCUCGUCAGGUGAAAGGGACACAGUACACGUUCGUGAGGGGGCAUUUUUCUUACAUAAAAUUAAAGGCACUUUUCAGUGCUUUAAAAAGUAGGGGGAACUGUGCCCCCCAGGAUCGCUGCCCCUGCAUACAAAAAACAUUUUCGUUCGAUUCAAAGUAUUAACAUACGCUUAAGAAAAAAAGUAAGGCUAAAUCCUCUGAUAAUGUGAUAUUUUUUUUGGCUAUUAAUAAAAUUCACAACUAACCAUAAAAUGCCUUCAUGUCUUUCAUUUGUAUAGUAUUUGUACAGAGCUAACAUGAAAGGGAUUUGGAAUUGGCAAAAUUCAAAUGAGAUGGAGAUCGAGAGAGAGAAAGAGUGAUGAGAAGGGGGUUGAAAAGAGAUG